GGGGAUGUAGCUCAGUGGUAGAGCACUUGCCUAGCAGCAUGCAUGAGGACCUGUGUUCAAUUUCUAGUACCACCA
rnacentral:tRNA from 1 species